CAGACAGCACACGUACGUCUGCCCGACGUCGGCUCAAGAGCGUACGUCGGCCUCCUUAUUUAAAACAUCUAAUAAGUAUCGGCCAGGCAUCUGCCAAAUCUUCAGUCAAGUCGACGGUAUUUCCCGCUCAUCAAGCUUGUCUGUUACGUCGGCUUUGGGUCGGAUAACUAUACCGGAGGCCGAUGCCGCGCUUCUCUCUGUUGGUGCGUGCCCAGUUAUUCCUCCCUUUGCAACCACCAGAGCAAGGGCGACAUUAUGGGUGUAAGUAUGUAUAAGAACUAAGUAAAUGAUAAUAAGUGAAGAAAAAUGGAAUCCGUUAAGUAAAUGUAAAUGUUUUAAUAUAAUAUUCAAGUAAAAGAAAUAAAAUAGCAGCGCCUUCUUUGCUUUUAAUGACACACAGCUGCUAAGUUCCAUUAUUCCGAAGCAGAAGGGGGCAGUAAUGUACAUACGCUGGUUGCCAGCCGCCGUUAAUACUCAAGUAAGUUAGAGAAAAUGCAACUGGGGAAAGUGAGGAAAAAUAAGGUAUUAUUGGCUUGUUUUACACGUAUCAUUGUUUUGUGUUCCCCUCCUUCAUAAAAAACAAACAAUUCCACGUCAACUCGAACACGCAAAACCCCGGUAUGAAGCAUUGUCAUGAGCAUUCCAAACCAACAGAUGGCGAUAUAUUCUUUAACCCAGAGAAGCCACUCCAGUCUCGUCUUGCCAUGAACAAGUAAAAAGUGCGGGAGCUGGCUUCGCAAACGUCCGUGGUUCAGGCAGAUGGCCAUUGCUUUUCUGAACAGCAGUUGGAAGUAUUCUGAGGUCAUUGGCACUGCUGUAUCACAACAUCAUUUGCUGGCAUGUACAUCUAGGAUGCGGCCUAUCCAGAUGAGAUUCUCUCCAAUGCCAGCAAACCGACAGUGAAGACACGAGCCAGCACUUCUCCUCCCACAUUGCCUCAGGCUUUGGAGAUAACCACUUAUAACUGCUCCCUCUUCAUGAGACCGGAUGCUACGUUGGGAUCACCGGGGCCUCCAUCGCCCGGCAUGUACACGCUACAUCAGGUGUAGGUGAACAACAUCAGAGUGCGGCAGUCAGAGAUCCUAAAGAAGGACUCCAUAUGUUUAGUCGAGACAGUACGCCGUACAUCUCUUAUGACGAGGAUAUUUGUUUCAGGACCGCUUUCCCGAUACUGACAAGGAGAUUUAAGGUUCAAUGGACAACUUGCUUUCAAUGAAUGCAAUUAUGUGAGCUGCAGUCUGGAUCCUGCCUCUGUCAGAUGACCUAACACAAAUGGAAAGAUGACAUCGGCCCUUGCAAGGACUUCAGACAAUGCCAGCACUGGACUACAUACAGUGGGGUGCCCAAACUUGUGCAUGUCAAUGUACUGAUAUAUACUAUACAAAUAAUAUUUUCAGUAGUCUGUGUCAAAUUUUAUUUCAAGUCAAUGGGUACCAUCAACUGUAUGAUUGACAUCAUUUAUCAGAUUAAAGAAUUUCUGGCAAGUUUAUAACAACAUGAAGUGUUUGGGUGAGAUCUAGACAGAGGACUAAGGCGUAUACUAGGACAGAACUAAGUGUUGUGGCCCACAGGUGAUCCUAAAGCAACAAAAGAGGAACAAUGGAUAGGAAGAAGUGGUGUCCAGAUGUUUAAAAGGCGGUGUUCGGGACAGGAAACAAAGGCAACAAAGAAGACCUCUAAGGUUUAAAGGCACUGCUUGCAGAGACGAGUGCAGAAAACAAAGACAGAAGACCUGACGAGAAUGUUUUAUGAUUAAAUGUUUUUGUUAUGUACAUGCACAUUAUUAUUAUUUACAAUAUAUUUAUAAGAUGCAUAAAUAUGUGACCUUGUAUAUGAAAUCCAGGCUACUGUCUUAACAUCUAAUGACAUCUAAAGUUUGAAUUUACUGAUUUAACAAUGAGUUCAGUCUUUGGCAUGACCUUACUCAGUCAGUAUUGAAGAUGUCAAGAUUAUAUUUUCAGAGAAUGUUUUCUGUAUUGUGUAGGAUGAUUUUAUGUAGAAAACAGUAAGUCACAAAGAAAUACUUUGCUGGGUUUUCACAGGCUGUGUCCCAUUUGUACAACAUAUGUGAAUUAUCUUGAGACUAAAACUUCUGAAAUCCAAACUGUUAUAUUUUAGCAUUUCAAAUGCAGCCACCUUUUGCCUAGAAUUUGAAAUAUAUACCCUUGGGUGUUUACAGUAAUUUUUUGAGAUCUCACCCUGAGAUAUUUUUAAAGAAAUUUCCAUGUAUUAUGGGCUUGAAUUACUUGUUUAUUUUAUCAUUUUGUCCAAGUAAUUUGAAAAAAGUUUUAAUUUAAAUUUUAGUUCUCAAUUGAAAUAAAUGUAUAUGUUGAGAAUGUAUAUUUUUGUCCACAAACGUAAUUGAAUCAUAUACCUUAAGAGUAAAUUAUUUUGAAGGGUAUAAGAAAUAUUUUAGUUAAGUGUUUAAAAACGUUUACACAGUAGUAUAGCAGUAUAUAAUAGUUACAGAAUAUGUAAUUUAUGUGUGACACAUCUAAAUAUUCUGUUACUGAUUUAUUAAUUUGACUUGUUUAUGUGUUAUAUUUGUCAAAUGAAUAAAUUUGCAACUGUUAUUGACAGUGGUGUACUUGUUUUUUGUUGUUAUUGCACAGAAGCACAUUAUUCUGAAUAAGUGUGAAUGAAUAAAGGUUUAAAUUAAUAAAUAAAUGCCCGGUAAAGCCCGUGCAGAGCGGCUGAAAUUGCAUCGUUUAAACAUCGGCCCGAGGGCAUUUGCGACGAGAUGCCGACAUCUAGACGACAUCUUCCCAAUGAGCAAACGCUCCCUGAGCGACAUCUUGCCGAUGGAACUUUGAAAGUCGGCACAACGUCGGCCAGAUGUAUGUGUGCUGU